rnacentral:tRNA from 2 species
GGCUGGGUAGCUCAGUUGGUAGAGCGUUCGACUGAAAAUCGAGAGGUCCAGGGAUCGACGCCCUGUCCAGCCA